UACGGAGGUCCCAAGCGUUGUUCGGAUUCAUUGGGCGUAAAGGGUGCGUAGGCGGCGCGGUAAGUCGGGUGUGAAAUCUCGGAGCUUAACUCCGAAACUGCAUUCGAUACUGCCGUGCUUGAGGACUGGAGAGGAGACUGGAAUUUACGGUGUAGCGGUGAAAUGCGUAGAUAUCGUAAGGAAGACCAGUGGCGAAGGCAAUCCCCUGGACCUGUACUGACGCUGAGGAGCGAAAGCGUGGGGAGCGAACAGG
rnacentral:rRNA from 1 species